rnacentral:snRNA from 1 species
UGAUGUGGUCCUCUGGUUCUUCUAGUCUACUGUUGAUGCUUUCGAUUGAGUUCUGGCUGGCUAGGCGGGUGUCCCCCUCCUCCCUCACCGAUCCAUGUGCGUCCCUCCCGAAGCUGCGCGCUCGGUCGAAGAGGACGACCUUCCCCCCCGAGGAGAGGACCGGUCUUCGGUCAAGGGUAUACGAGUAGCUGCGCUCCCCUGCUAGAACCUCCAAACAAGCUCUCAAAAGUGCAUUAGAAUUCCACGUGUCAUUUAUGUGCCAUCUUAGGAAACUGAGCGCUGAAGCUUCUAUCCUGUGAGUUUACCUAGGUUGUUGUUGUUUUU